rnacentral:lncRNA from 1 species
UCUUGGCUUCUUGGGAGAACAAAUUGUAGGAGAGCAGGAAAAGAAACAUGGAGACAGAUGAGAGCAAUGUGACGUGGACAGUGUUGAUGGCUGUGGAGAUGCAGAGACAUGAGUACCUAGUGGUGCUGCUUACUAAUAUGUGCAAGAGGCUAGAAGAAAAAAUGAGGAAUGUGAAGGCACAUGCUUGGAAAGUGAAAAGCCUACUGGAAUGAAAAGGGCAUCAUUGGCUACUCUGUGAGGACUCUGAACUGGAAAUCAUCCCCACCCUGGGUUGCCACAGCAAAUGUUUAAUCUCAGGCUAGUCUUCCCUUGUAGCUGCCCUGCGUGCCUUACCACGACUCCUGCCCCCACACCCCAGUCCUCAUGGUGUGCCUCAAAUCUUAAUACUAGUCUGAGCUGAAUAAAAACCA